UUGCCCCGCAAGGGGUAACUGAGUGGCGAACGGGUGAGUAACACGUGGGUGACCUACCCUCGAGUGGGGGAUAACAUCCCGAAAGGGGUGCUAAUACCGCAUGACAUCCUGUCUUUGAACAGAUGGACAUUAAAGCCGGGGAUCGUAAGACCUGGCGCUCGUGGAGGGGCCCGCGCCCGAUUAGCUAGUUGGUGAGGUAACGGCUCACCAAGGCUUCGAUCGGUAUCCGGCCUGAGAGGGCGGACGGACACACUGGGACUGAGACACGGCCCAGACUCCUACGGGAGGCAGCAGUGGGGAAUUGUUCGCAAUGGGCGAAAGCCUGACGACGCAACGCCGCGUGGAGGACGAAGAUCUUCGGGUCGUAAACUCCUUUUGAUCGGGACGAAUGAUCGGCGACCUAAUACGUCGUCGGAAUGACGGUACCGAGAGAAGAAGCCCCGGCUAACUCCGUGCCAGCAGCCGCGGUAAUACGGGGGGGGCAAGCGUUGUUCGGAAUUACUGGGCGUAAAGGGCGCGUAGGCGGCCAUCUAAGUCAGACGUGAAAUCCCUCGGCUCAACCGAGGAACUGCGUCUGAUACUGGAAGGCUUGAAUCCGGGAGAGGGAUGUGGAAUUCCAGGUGUAGCGGUGAAAUGCGUAGAUAUCUGGAGGAACACCGGUGGCGAAGGCGGCAUCCUGGACCGGUAUUGACGCUGAGGCGCGAAAGCUAGGGGAGCAAACGGGAUUAGAUACCCCGGUAGUCCUAGCCCUAAACGAUGAGUGCUUGGUGUGGCGGGUAUCGAUCCCUGCCGUGCCGAAGCUAACGCAUUAAGCACUCCGCCUGGGGAGUACGGUCGCAAGGCUGAAACUC
rnacentral:rRNA from 1 species